GUUGUAUAAUACUUAUAUCAUAUCAUCAUAAAUAAAUAAGUUAUACUUUUAUUCUUAAGAAAAAAAGUAUAAUAAAAAUAUAAAAAUUUUCUAUUAAUUAUAAUGGGACGGGCGGAUCUAAGAAAGACAAUUUUAUUAGUUGAAGACGUCAUGUCAGCAAUAUAACUGGUGCAUUCUAAAUUUUUUUUUCUCAUUGAGAGGUCCUAAUUUAUCAUUAUAUGUUAUUUUUAAAUUUUAAUAUUAAAAAAAUAUCUAAUUAAUUAUUGGAUGGAGAUAAAAUUAAUACGUGUUAGUAGAUCUGAAGUUUUAUUUAUAUGCAAAGGACAGCAUUUGCUCGGACUCGUGUUGGACUUUUCAGAACUAAUUUGUUUGCUUGGAAGUAUAUUACAUAUUGAAAAUAAAUUUAAGUUGAUGGUCUAUAUAUUUUACCGAAAGUAAAGUUCAGAUUGAAGUUGAUUUUUAGACGAGCGAGAGCUUAUACAAAAAUUAUUUCAAUUUUUAACUAUUUGUUUGUAUAACUAUACAACUGAAAUUCUUUCGAUUCUGCUAUUUUUUGGAAAAAAAAUAAAUAAUGUAAAAGAUAGAAAUGUGGGAGAUGAACCGAUAUUUUUUUAAUCUU
rnacentral:lncRNA from 1 species